GAGAAACGACACAAUUCUCUUAUACAUUGGUCCUUGAACGUCUUGUUUUUACUAUGCUAUUUUGUUUGGGCUGAAUUAUCCCUAAAAAAAAAAAAGUAAGGUUAAAGAAGGGGAGUCUGCCACUCCACACUCAAAACAGGAAGAGGAAGUGUUUAGCCUGGUAGCUAUUCCAAGGUAACAGUGGAAGAACUGGACUAACUGAUGAAACUCUACACAGCAAACGACCACCGAUGAUGGAGGAGGGUGUGAUCGAAACCGAGUUAAACGAGACGGACAUUCACUCAAUAGAGAAUUGCCAGCUCCAUCUUUGUGUCACUUCUCGGGACGUCCAGAUUUCCAGAGGCGAGCAAAAACCACUUCGACGACAGGCAGCGGUGACACAAAGAGAAAGAAACGCAGAGGGACACCGGGAUGAAGAGGGAUGGGAUGCAGGCCCGGGACAAUACGGUGAAGAAACAGAAACGCCAGCCUUGAGUCGGGUGACUUUGGAUGUGCUGCGCUCGGUGAUAUGGGAGAUUGGGCUUGGAUGAGGUUCUUCUUCGCCCCCCCUCCCUCCCCUUCUUCAGCUCUGUUUUGACUAACAUGCCAGCUCUGUGACUACCAGUGAAGCGCUGACACCCCUGCAGUGGAUUCUGAGCAUACCAAGGAAAGAGAUGUCUUUGAAAGGACAGAUGUUCCUAGGCUUAACCUGCCUCCAACCCGAACCGCUACCCUCCUUCCAUUGUAUAUUUGUUCUCGCUCUAUAAAUAACUGGCCGGUAACUCACAGAAAAAUGUAACUGAUGUGCAGCUGACCUCCAGGCCUCUAAUCUUUGAGAGUGAAAGAAACUCCGGAGAGAAGUCAGUGGAUACAGUCAUGGUAAAUGGAUUUGGGCUAGGGGACGCAGUGAACACACCCAUUUUUGUCCACAUAAGGACUAGUCUAGAUGUCUGGACUGGCUCAGCUGUCUUAUGUAACAGCAGCGUGGAGUCCUGGCAGAUGAGGCGUGAUGGGCUCGAGCCAGUUCAGCCACAUAAUCCAAAAAUAUACUGGCCGCAUUCACAGGGGAGUAUACACUUAUUUGAGGUUCUUCUGAAAAUUUCACAAUUUGAAAAAAAAAAAAAAAAGGGGGAGUUUGCUCUCUUGAGAGUGUCAACGUAGGAGGUAGAGGACAAAUUAUCUAUUCAUUAUCUAUUUAUCUACUCUAUUUGAAAUUCUCAAAUGUGUUUUUUUAAAGGGACAGUUCACCCAAAAAAAUCUUUUCACUCUUACCUGUAGCGACAUUUAUCCAUCUAGAUUGUUCUGGUGUGAGAUGCCGAAUUUGGGGUGAUAUGAGCCGUAGAGAUGUACGCCAUCUCUCAAAUAAAAUUGAAUUGGAUGGCACAAAACAAACAAACAAACCAAAAAAAAAACCAACAAGAAAAAAAGAAAAACAGUUUAAUAACUCAACAACAAUGUCUCUUUCCAGAAAUUAUGACCUGGUUAGUCAAGAAGGGAAGGAAGGAAGUGUGCAGCUACUCAUGAACGAAAGUCUCGCAAACCAAGCUAGCUAGUGUUACAGCCGCGGAGAGGAAACCAUUCAGGGCUCCAGGGUGCAACUAUUUUGGUCACACACGCACCCAAGAAAAUCAUAUAAUUCUUGUUGCCUCUGCUGUGAUUUAGAUUAAGAGAAAGGGUAACGUGUACACCCUGCGCUGUCACAAUCAUCGUCCUUCCUCUCGUCCUUGAGUAGAUGCCUCUUUCUGUGCUGUGAUACUGGCGGCUGUAGUUUGGUAGAAAGAUUAUAGUUCCUACUUGAAGCUGCAACAUUGUCUGUGGACUAUCUUGUCUAACCGGGUCCUCGCUGUUGAGUUUUUAAAAUGAGCACCGAAAGCCAAGUGCCAUCUAGUUCCAGUAUAUUGAAGAGAGAGCAGACAUCUUUACUGAUCAUAUCUCCAAAACAAUCUAGGUGGAUGGACAGCACUACAGUUCCAAGAAAUAAAUAUGUAUUUAUGAUUUGAGGGGGGCGAACUGAGCCUCAUCACUGAUAUAUCUAAUUUUCAAAAUGGCUUUUCCUACGUUAUUGAGUCUGCAGAGUGUUUGCCCUCUCGCCGUGGCUGCAGGCAUGAAUGGGUGAUUGUUCGGGGGCCCUUGUGACGACUCCCCCGGGGCCCAUCAAUUCAGCGAGGCUCCUGGAACAUCAGGUCAUGGCUAACCAGGCUCUGAAGCUCCAGCCCGGCCUCACUCUUGCCACAGUUCGAGCCUCAGGACCUCCGGGGCGCACAGCUGGGUCGCUUAAAAAAAGUCCGCCUGAAUGGUUUUAGAAACACUGCAGCUCCUCUUACCCCGCGCUCUCUCCCCGCUCGCUCUCAAACCCUAGCACAGCGACGAUAUCAGAUACUGUGUUUUUUACUUGAUAUGUUCAUCUUUGCUUGCCAAAGCCCCUGGAAACCAUAUUAAAGUCUGCAUUCCAUAUUUUUAACCAAAAGGCCUCCUCAGUUGAAGAAUUUGUCCAAAAUUUCCAUCAUCCCCUCUCUCCUUCGCUUUCCUGUCCUCUCUUUUUUUUCCUCCGCAGCCCUCUGCGUUUCCCCGUCUCUUCCCCGCACGCUCGCACACAUCUUAAUUUUCCCUCUCUCCCCUCCAGCGCUGCUAUCGUGUCGUAUCAGUUACAGCUGACCACCAGUCAGGUGGGUCUGCGGGACAUUUUAGAUCACGGAGGGGCGGCCGGCUCGCUCAGCGCCUCCAGCCUGCUCCCAGACUCCAGUCCCAGGCCCCGCUGAGGGCCUUGUCCCAGGCAGGGCAGAGAGACACCUGGCCAAACCGCAGAAACACUUCCAGCUGCAGACUGCCUGAUGCUCACCACGGAGAGAAUCCAGGCCAAAGGUGGAGGAGCUGAGGAACUACUGCACUGCCAUAUACGUUCCUCUGAAUUUCAUGUUUAUUUUAAUCGCGGAACGUAAGGCGAGACUUUUCAGGCUUCUUUGCAUUAUCAAAAUGUUUACACUGUGUCACAGUAAAAAGCGUCCCUCCUCCCCGAAAUGGAGAACAAAUCAGGGCAGCAGGACUGUUAAACUGCGCUCCUCAAAGUGAAAGUGGGUGAGUGGAGGGCAGAGAGGACAACAGGCUCUCCUUUUCUCUCCGACCGGUCGACAUGAAAGACCACAUUAUGUCUGAGAUUAGAGGCAAUUACACUGGGAGUGCGCUUUAAGACCUUUGUUUGCCAACAUGACAGGAGGGAGCAGGGCUGUAAUUUGAUGAGGGGGCAGCGUGAGUGAGACACUCGGCAUGGCCGGCUCCCAGCAGAGACGAGGCAAAGAGAAGCCUUUGUCCGUAGCGCGGACAUGGCAGUUGGCAGAAACGUGAGAAAUCUGGAGGAAGAUUAAUUCAACCGGGAUUGAUAAAUUAGCAGAGGUGUCUUCAUCCACAUCGUCAGAUUUAUUGUGUGGCUAGUGUUUGUGGCUGGGAAAGUGGGUUUUUAAAGAGACCUAAUAGCCCAAAAAGGAAGCACUUUCAUCUUUGCCUUUUGUUCCAGGUGACAGUUCGAAAAGCUGCUGUCUAUUGUUUUCAGCAUUUAUAUCAAUUCAAAUGGCACAGUUGUGUCGAUUCAUUCAAAUGUCACAAAUACUGUAAACAUAUGAUUCAGCCUGAGCCUGCGGUCAAACAAUAAAAGAUCCUCAAGACGUGACAUCUCCUCUAUUCUGGCCGGGCGCAUUGUUCGAACAUGCUGCGAGUUUUUCAGGACAGGAAACGAGCAGCUUGUUCCAGCCCGACCGGCAGAGCGGAGCACGUCUUUAUUUGAGGGAAGUCAUUCUGUUGAUAUAUAAAACACCAAAGCAAAGUUUCCUUCCCCCUCACUUUCCUGGUGCUAUCCCCUUCAAAAGGACACGGUCCUUUAUACUGGGCUCACAUGCACACACGGGACCAGAAGAAAAACAAACAGAGGCCAUUUAAAUAUCAACUUGCCUUCUGUUUGAACGGAGGAGCUACUGCACUGCUCGGCCCGGGCUCGUCCAGUGCGCUCGGCUCUCUGAACCAUGGAAAACGGGGGACAAUAGCAAAGGAAAGCAUUGUGGUGGUCGUUUCUGCAGGUAUACUGUUAAAUUAAUUAUACAUACAUACAUGCAGAAAAGUACCGUCAUAAACUACCAAGCGCAGAAAGUUGACAUGAAAUGCUUGGUCGGAUUCUUAUUCUUGUUUACUUAUUCAUUUAUUUCAAUAUUUCCUGAUUCUCUUACAGAAAAAGUUCUUACUUUGUGUCAAGCAGUGUUUUAAAAAGUACCCAAAAGACAAACUUGAGUAAAAGUACAGAUAUACAGUGAAAAUAUUAUAGUGGUUGAAAUGAAAGUCAGCUAUAAAGAUAGUACCUGGUUAAAUAUGUCUGAUAGUGAAUGUACUUAAGUAUCACAAGUGAUUUUCUGGCAAUUAAUGCACAAAAAAUAAAAAAUAUAAUUAUA